AUUGAACGCUGGCGGCAGGCCUAACACAUGCAAGUCGAACGAGUGGCGGACGGGUGAGUAAUGUCUGGGAAACUGCCCGAUGGAGGGGGAUAACUACUGGAUACGGUAGCUAAUACCGCAUACCAUCGGAUGUGCCCAGAUGGGAUUAGCUAGUAGGUGGGGUAACGGCUCACCUAGGCGACGAUCCCUAGCUGGUCUGAGAGGAGGAGCAGCAACACUGGAACUGAGACACGGUCCGAAUGCCUAAGGGAGGAAGAAGUGGGGAAUAUUGCACAAGGGGCGCAAGCCUGAUGCGGCCAUGCGGGGUGUAUGAAGAAGGCCUUCGGGUUGAAAAGUACUUUCAGCGAGGAGGCGUUACUCGCAGAAGAAGCACCGGCUAACUCCGUGCCAGCAGCCGCGGUAAUUC
rnacentral:rRNA from 1 species